AUUUCACCAGAAAGUUAUGUGGAAGGUUAAUCUGCAGGGCUGGGCUCUUUGUUAGGAAUCUGCCAGGGUGUCCCAGUUGCACACGGUUUCUGGAAGGUGUUGAUCAUGUCAUGGACGAGCCGAACCAAACCCGGGCACGGGACACUGGCGCUUGGGGAGAAGAGGGUGUCCUGAUGCAACGUUCCAUCCGGAUUCACUCCGGAUUCCCCGGCCGACAACAGGUGGCUUUACUCAGUGUGAGCAGAUUUUCUUUGAUUUGCCACCUGAGAGGAUCCAAGAUCUGCACAGCGUGUCCCUCCCCUUGGCAGCUGUGGGAGGCUCCCUCUCGGCCCUGCUGAGCCGUGACUGUGGUGUCCCCAGGAUGACUGACACGGGAAGAGACAUUUGGGUGUAAGCUCCUGGGACAGCCGACCUGGUGCCUUUCACCUCGCGGAUGAAGCCGGAGUCGGGCCACACGUGUCGUCUCAGAGCAGCAGGGCCCCGGGCACACGGGACUCUGUCCUAGGACUCACCCACUGGGUUUUUUUUUCCUCGCCUGUUGCCCCCUCGCAGGAGCCGUGUCCCUCCUUGCUUUCUCAACGAACAGUAGAUGUGUUUUCAUUUAAGUUACCGCCAAGAAGGCUACAGAAAGCACAUUCUCCUCGAACCUUUACGAGGCAGAGGCUUGUCCCGGUUUCACGUGGCCAUCCAUAACGAAUGUGGCUAAAACAGCUAUUCGUUCCGGUAUUUGUGCAGAUCAGUAAUGCAGCCACAGCAGAAAACUUGUUCUUUUAUUGCAGACUUAGUUAAAUACGGAGCCGAGUGAGUCAUUGGAAGGUCACAUGUGUCCGGGCCCGGCAGCCGUGGGGUUGUGCGAUGGUCACCCAGCACCGCUCCAGAAUGCAGCGGGCGUCAGCACAGCGCCCAGAUUACCGUGUGGAAUUAAAAUAAGACUUGGCCUUUCUUCGGACGACAAAUUCUUUGUGAAAACCAGACUUGGGUUUUUACCCUGACCUCCACUGGAGGCUCUGUGAGCCGUGUGUGUUCUGUCUUUGUGGCGGUGCCCCCCUCCGCCCGCGCCCCCCCCCCCCCCCCCCGGACCAUGGGAUACGGUUCUUAAAGCCCAACUUCUGACAUACGUGCCCCUUUGGGAAUUUUCCUCGGUUGUCCUCUAGCGGGGUGAGCUAUGGGCGGAGUCCCCUUCACCCACGGGCCUUCUUUGUUCCAGAUCACUGCACCCCUUUGAAAGUCAACGGAGGAGAUAGGAGAGAGGAAGGAGUCAAAGUAAAAGAAAGGUGUUCCUUCUCCGGUCAUUGUGGAUACGUGUGAGCCCUGCUGGGUGUUUGCCUUUAGUUUUUUCCCCCCACAGUAACAACGCACAAGUUGCAAAGUGCAGAGGAUGAAAAGGCUGGUGCUGAACAGCAGCUCCCGGCGCCCGGCUUCCCAGGGGCCUGGCCUCGGCACCCGCUUCGUGCGGCUCUGUCUUCCAAACGUGCGGGUCUCCUGUUUCUGAGUAACAGCCAUGCACUGCGCCUUUUGACCCAUCGUCUUGAGCCUUGCCCGCUGACUUCCUUUCUGGCGGAUUCAGGCUGAGCACUCACGGGAAGCACCCUCUGCUUCCCCUUCCCCGUCCUCCAGUCAUCCUGCACGAUUUCUGUUCAGCCAGUGUUCACGGUUGUCGUGCGGACACAACAGUCGCCCGCCUCCUGGACUCGUCUGGCCAGACCCUCUGCGUCUCCUUCCUGUUCCCCGCCUAGUUGUUGUCUCGCGGUUUCCGUGGCCGAACUUUCUUUGGUGGCCAACUCUCAUUCCUGCAGGGCCUGGAGCCUCUCUGCCUAACUUUGCACAAGGUCAACCACAUCUCCUGAUCUGUCGGUUCGGUCUGUUGCUUAGAUGUGUGGAAGACUUUGCAGACAAUUCAGCUGUGGUGGGAACGUUGUUACGGUUUUGUUACAAUCUCGGGUGCAAGGGGAGAGGCCCCAGGAGGCCAGUCCCCAAACUGAUCUCAAUUAGGAAUUUUGUAUUUUGCAGGGAAGGUUGGAUUAUUUUACAGGGGAGGUUGGAUUAUUGUUAGAGUAAAUACAAAAAGAGUCCCAGCUAAAGGUCAUCUGGGUGGGUAGGUUUCCUAGGAGAUUCCUUGCAAAUUAUAUGAGGGAGGCCAAUCUUCCCAGAAGGAGGCUAUGAAUUUUAUCAUCUGUCAAAAAUCAGAGCUGGAUUAAAGUGGUAAGAACAGAUUUUAUUCAAAAAAAGGCUCUGUCCCAUGCCAGGUUUAGACUAAUUUGGGGGGGGGGGGUAAGAUUUUAUUUUUAAGUUAUCUCUACCCCCGAGUGAGGCUCAAACUCACGACCCCAAGAUCAAGAGUUGCGUGCUCCGACUGAGCCCACCAGACGCCCCUAGACCAAUCUUCAUACCCUCUUUUUGACCUAGACCUCGCCUCUGACUUGCUCAAGAAUGCAUCGUGCUGCAUUUCGGUUCUAAGAACAUAAACGAAAAGUGUUGCCCGGGUCAGCACUUCCCAAACAACCUGUGCACAACCACCGUCCCCCACCAGGGAUCUGUCAAAGGCAGAUUCUGGCGCAGCAGGGCUGAGGUGGGGCCUGGAACUCUGCAUUUCUCAUGAGCUCCCGAGGGAUGCUGGUCUGGGGGGCCACCCUUUGAGGAGUGACGGAGGGCAUUUGUGGUUGCUAGCUACAUCUCCCAUUGAUGAUAGGCUUGGGUGUGGGUUUCAUUUGUGUGGCACAUACCCAGUUGUAGUUACCAGCAGUAUCUACACACACACACACACACACACACACACGAGCCAGUUUCCUAUAUUAGGGAAGGCCUUACCUGUGCAGCAUGGAGUGGUAAUUUCUUACAGUCUGUGCACCUGGGCCUAGAAUCUGACCCUGAACUCCCUCCUUAUAUACGCUGGGUUCUGUGAGGCCUCUUCUACAGCUAGUUACGGCAAGAAGCAAUGAUAAACAUCUCCUUACCGUUUGCCUCAUAAAACCAAGGUCACAUGAAAUAUAAUAUAAAAA